GAUGAACGCUGGCGGCGUGCCUAAUACAUGCAAGUCGAGCGAACAGAUAAGGAGCUUGCUCCUUUGACGUUAGCGGCGGACGGGUGAGUAACACGUGGAUAACCUACCUAUAAGACUGGGAUAACUUCGGGAAACCGGAGCUAAUACCGGAUAACAUAUUGAACCGCAUGGUUCAAUAGUGAAAGGCGGCUUUGCUGUCACUUAUAGAUGGAUCCGCGCCGUAUUAGCUAGUUGGUAAGGUAACGGCUUACCAAGGCAACGAUACGUAGCCGACCUGAGAGGGUGAUCGGCCACACUGGAACUGAGACACGGUCCAGACUCCUACGGGAGGCAGCAGUAGGGAAUCUUCCGCAAUGGGCGAAAGCCUGACGGAGCAACGCCGCGUGAGUGAUGAAGGUCUUCGGAUCGUAAAACUCUGUUAUCAGGGAAGAACAAAUGUGUAAGUAACUGUGCACAUCUUGACGGUACCUGACCAGAAAGCCACGGCUAACUACGUG
rnacentral:rRNA from 1 species